UGGGGAAUCUUCCGCAAUGGGCGCAAGCCUGACGGAGCAACGCCGCGUGAGUGAAGAAGGGUUUCGACUCGUAAAGCUCUGUUGUCGGGGACGAAUGUCAGGACUCAAAAUAUGGGUUCUGAAUGACGGUACCUGACGAGGAAGCCACGGCUAACUACGUGCCAGCAGCCGCGGUAAUACGUAGGUGGCGAGCGUUGUCCGGAAUUAUUGGGCGUAAAGGGAGCGCAGGCGGGAGAUCAAGUCUAUCUUAAAAGUGCGGGGCUCAACCCCGUGAGGGGAUGGAAACUGGUCUUCUUGAGUGCAGGAGAGGAAAGCGGAAUUCCUAGUGUAGCGGUGAAAUGCGUAGAUAUUAGGAGGAACACCAGUGGCGAAGGCGGCUUUCUGGACUGUAACUGACGCUGAGGCUCGAAAGCGUGGGGAGCGAACAGG
rnacentral:rRNA from 1 species